UCCGAAGAAGAGACUAAAGAGAGGGCAUCCAGAGUUUGCAAUUGUUAGUGUACCAGUAACGGCGACGUCUGCAACGGGUACCCGCUCAAAAUCGCGCACAUCCGUUCACAUCGAGUUAGACUGCACAUCACAAGUUGUUGAUGCGUCGUCCACUGAUGUUGGCCCUUCAUGUUCGACAAGUUCAGAUCUUCCUUCGAGAGUCGUCACUCGUGCGUUAGCUCGUCGUCUAGCCGAAAGUGCCGUCGCAAGUGAAAAGAAUUCACCCGAUAAUCAAGAAACA